CAGUCGCCACGGUAAUACGGAGGGUGCAAGCGUUAAUCGGAAUUACUGGGCGUAAAGCGCACGCAGGCGGUCUGUCAAGUUAGAUGUGAAAUCCCCGGGCUUAACCUGGGAACUGCAUUUGAAACUGGCAGGCUAGAGUCUUGUAGAGGGGGGUAGAAUUCCAGGUGUAGCGGUGAAAUGCGUAGAGAUCUGGAGGAAUACCGGUGGCGAAGGCGGCCCCCUGGACAAAGACUGACGCUCAGGUGCGAAAGCGUGGGGAGCAAACAGGAUUAGAUACCCCUGUAGUCCCUGUCUCUUAUAC
rnacentral:rRNA from 1 species